rnacentral:lncRNA from 1 species
CGCUGCCUUCCGAACGGCCCCACAACGAGCGCGCUGCCCCACGGCACCGCCGCGCUUCGUGCCGCACGCCAGCCGCGCUGUGUGUGACAGCGCCCCAGCAGAGCUGAUUCAUCGGCUCGCUCCAGCCGUCACCUGACGCUCGGAGAUGCCUUUUCUAGCGACAAUAGCAACUGAGGAGGAGCUGCCGUGGUGGAAACCCUGUGCCGACAGCUUCCUCCCGAGGGAGACAGAUGCACGAUGCAAGGCUGCGCUCCUCCAGACAUCAUCUCAGCCAGAGGAAGAACGGCCGCAGCAGCAGCUGCUCUGCGCCCCACCGAAUAAUUUAAGUUCCUUUCCCAUUCGUCUCAGCCUCACCCCUACAACACAGAGGAAUGAACGCACACCGCUUCUGCUUUCCAACCUCUGACGUCCACAGCAACCGAGCUGUCAUAGAGACAGCCUCGCACCACGCACAUUUGCUCAGUUCAGGAGACUCUGUAUUUCAAGAAGGCCCAGCAGUGCUGCUGAGUGCGAGGCAGCGUUUAAUCGAAGCACAAGGGUACCGUGUUUUCCCACGUUGCACUUCACAAUGCUAAUGUGACAAGAAGGACGCAGGAGCAGCCUAUGGCAGCACCAGCUCUAUUGCCACACGGCCUGCAAUCAGCCUCUCCACUCGGGAGCGCACGGCCCUCAUCCCAUCCUGCUCCAGCAGGGAGAUGGCAAGCCAUUCACACUACAUUGCUCGGCUGUCCAUAAAACAUUUCAUUUCUGUAUGUUUCUUUUAAAAAAGGCAGAAAAAGACACCUAUCUGGAACAAUGGAACACAGGAGAGAUGGCAAGGGGGGAGCAGAGGGAAUCAAUCGCUGGCCACAACUCUGAAAAUCCCUGCUUAUGAGGUUUGCAAGUAUUUACACCUCAUAAGGGUCCUUCAAGUUGUAUGUCCUACACUCUACAGUCUUCAAAUCAAAUACUUUGCAUUUGGAGACUCUUACCUCCGCUCCACAGAACAUUCAGAUCCAUCUCCUAUUUGUAUGCCCUGUUUGAGAGGUACAUAAAUGACCUACAAAAGGGGCGGACAGCAGUCUUGCAGUUGGCAGAUAAUUACUCAGAAUAGCAAAGGGGAAAAAAAGAUGGACUGAAAAAGCUCCCAACAUGCCUAGUGAAUUGCAGCUGUAAAUUUAGCUCCUAAAGAGACACACGAGAGAAAAACAAAUCUUAGCAUAUGCUAGAAACCAGGUUUUGGAGCUGCCAAAAGGGAACAAGACCUCACAGCUCUAACAGUAUGAGAUUAUCAGCUGCAUGGUGGCACAGCCCAGGAUUUUGGAAUACGGGCCCAGAUUACAUAACUGGGCCAUAGCAGGGAGAGGACGAGAGUCAGCCCCACAGAUACCAGUCACAUGUGUAUGAGAACCAGGAAUAACGUCCUAUUACCACACAGUUCGUUUUCUUUUUUUUUUGGUUGUUUGUUUUUAACAUUAAGAUCAGCAAAAGAUCAGCAAAAUCAGCCCAGCAGCGCGAUUUGUGCCUCUCAAAUCAAGUUUUCAUCUAUUUUUGCACAGAUGUCACAAAUAAUCUUUUCCAUAGCUGGUCCCCUGAUUAACAGUCCCAGUUUUGUAUUCUUUAGGAUUACAUUCAAUAAAUACAUCUACAACAAUU